CAAUCACUCUUCCCUCCUGCACCGCCCCUUACCUCCCUCAGCCAAUCCCCACCAGGCGGGAGGGAGGGAGGGAGGCCGUCGCGGUGACAACGCUGCCCGGGAUACCGGCCGCGGCAGAAGGGGCGGUAACGUGCUGGGGCGGGGGGGGGGGGAAGGGGGAGAAGGCGGGCUCGCGCACGCGCACUCCCUGCAGCGCGAGGAAAUGGAGCCGCCCGUUACGGGCGGGAUCCGACUACAUUUCCCAGCGGCCCCCGGGGGGCAGCGCGGGACGGGCGCCCCUUCUCCCGCGCUGCGGCAGGCAGCGGCGAGGGAAGGGUUAGCGGUGCUGCUGGGGCGGGGGCAGUGCCCCGGGCGUGAGGGGGUGGAUCUGCCUCACGGAGCAGCGGGGUGUCCCCACUCCCGGGAACAGAGAGAGUGACAGCCUGACGAUGGAACUCCGCAUCUUAACCCCAUUUAAAUAUUUCUGCUGCUGUCAUCAGCUUGGUGUUUGAACGCCCGGAGUGGGUUUUUCAGAGGAGCGCAGGCAUCUAUUUACUGAUCCCUCCAGUGGGAGCCAAGCACCGAAAUACUUCUGAGGAGUGGAGCCGGUCUAAAUUAGACGAAGCCUAAUUUGAACUGACCCUGCCCCACACCUUUGGGCAGAUUUCAGAGGGCAGCUGCUUGUUUUCUGAAGAUACCUGCAAGUUCUCAGUUCUUCCCAUCACUUUCAGUUUCUGUGUGUUGCUGUACUAGCUGAUGUAAACCUGGAAAACCUGAGAUCUUAAGUAUGUAAAUGAUGAUGUGUACUACAGCACCUAGUCAAUGCUCCAAGCCAGUGUUUCUGGCCCUGUGUGUUCUGGUUUACGGUGGCGUCAAGAGGAAGUUGUGUAAUGGCAUCACUAGCCUGGGAACACCUAUUCUAAAUUAUUUGCACCACCUGGGUAGUCACAGCCUGUUUCACCCUUGUCUUGAAGAAGCUGAGCCACUGUCAGCAAUUAAAGGUAGCUGACAGUCUGUGUAAGAACCCAAGCCAAUAAUUAUGACUCAGUAGAGGCAAGACAUCUGAAGAGAAUUCAAAUGAGUCCCCAAAAGAGUCAUUCUUGCAAAAAAGUUAACCACCAUUCUAGACAUACAGUAAUAAUUACACACACAAAUAAGAAAUCAGUUUGUUAAAGUACCCACUGAUUUACUAAACAAGAACUUCUGUCCUUUCUCCUUAUAGAUUAAAAAAAAAAAAAAGUACCACUUUCAAGUGUAGUUGUGGCCUGUUAGGCUUUAGUAAUUUGCUCUGAAGUAUUGAUAGGCUUGGAUGCAUUGAGGUUAGAGAGCCUGGUAUCAACUGCCUCUUUAAAGUUCCAUCUACUAGAUCUUCCUCUGUUAGCCUCUCAUAUGUUGCCACAAGAGUGACAGAAAAAAACAUCAUCGGACUAUGCACAAGUCCUACAGAAAGGAUGGGGCUGAGCUCACCUGAGAAUGCAUUGGGUCAACACUUGGACAGUCCCCUUUCACAGUUACCCGUGAUGAUUCUCAGCACUUUGUGUAGCGCUGUAAUCAAAUAUACCUGUACCAAGAAAUACCUACUCUCUGCACCCCCCUCUAGGCUCAGCAGCAUGUUAGCCAUCUUUUUAGGAAGCCAGCAGGGCAAAUCAGGUAUAUGUGUACAUCUCCAGGUUGGAAAGUUUUGGAAGAUGUGGAGCUGGCACACGUUUUCCAUUUCUGCUGCUUUUCCUUCUCCUUUGCUUGCUUUUUAGUUUGGCCUCUUGCCUCUGAACUGCAGGUGAGAUAUGGGAGAUUUUGAAUGGAGUUUCAGUUGAGUUUGUUUUGGUUGUGGUUUUGUUUGUUUGGUUUUUGUAUUAGGGGUCUCUUUCUUACUCUGGUGGAGCAUUCACAAGUAGAAGUGUAGGGAAUGAACGUCAUAUAUCAGAGAAGGAAAUGGCUCGUGGGCUUCAUUUUUUUUCCUAUUUUUAUAUACUUAAUGGGAACAUAAAGUAUCUAAUUCCCUCCUCCUGCUUCCAGGCCCCUUUGCUCUGAUUACAAGAAAUCUUUCCUGUUUAGAAACCCAAACCUCUGGGGUUUUCAGAAGUUUCUUGAGGCUGUUACCUUACUCAAGAUCUACAUUUACAGCAGUGGGAAUCAAGGGAACCAGAUUAACAACUUAGGCAACUACUGUGUAGUGUAUAUAUAUACAUCAUAUAUAAAUAUUCCAGUAAUUAUGGUUAUUCCAGUCAUUAUGGUUAUUCUGUCUCAUUGGCAUAAAGUUCAGAAUUCUUAAUAUGAGGAACAUAACAUCCCAAACCUCCAAACAUGUUCUGCAAAUGCAGACACUGAAUAUAUGAGGAUAGCUGGUAUAAGAAAUUCUGGCUGCCUCCUUUAUCUUUCUCUGCCUUAGUUGAAUAUUCCUAUAUGAAAUACUAUGUAAUUACUACAGCUGUGUCUCUAUUUAUUAGAAAACGUAGUGUCUUCUGAUGGUUAUUAUAUCUUAUAGGUACAGAUUAAUCAUAUGAUUUAUUCCUUGUAAUGAAUUGCUGUUUUUCAGCAUUUAAUAGGUUCAUCCCUCUCUUCUACAUUUACACAUGGGUUGGUUUAUUUUUGGUUGUUUGUCUGUUUAUUCUCUAUGAUGCUAAAUUCAUACUUACCUGCGUGAUGAUAAUGUAAUUUUACAAGUCUAUUCAUUUUGCUUAUGGUUGAAGGUUUUGAAACAAAACUACAAAAGGUUAACAUGCAAAAUGAGCAGAGCUGAGGUUUGCAAGUAUGAAGACCAGCAGACAAGUCAUAGUUCACACUUUGACAGGAUGUGCACUGUCUGUGCACUGGACAGCGUACACAAUUUGCAGAUAUUUGAACCAAAAAUACCUGUUCAUGUCAGCAAAUUAUGUGGGAUUAAUGGAUUCUAAAUUCUGGAAAACAAAUCUAUCUGGGUUGGUCUUUUUCUGUUUCCUAAUAAAGGCUCAAGAACUUCACAAACUUCCCAAACACUUACUUAACAUAGGCCUGCCAUUCUAAACUUUUUUUUUUUUUUAAUUGUUAGUUUGAUUUUUAAGUCCCUGCUUAAGAAAACAGAUGUUUCACUGGAUAGAGCUCCUCCUCUCUUCCUCUGUCUGCACUGAGACUGUUGCACUCGCUGCCUCUUUUCUCACCAGUUUUCUGGCUGCUGCCAUCUCUUUCUUGUGCCUGCUGCACCUAUUGAGCUUGAACAGCUCUGGUAUUAAAGGUGGGCGAAAAAUUCUGACUGAAACUAGUAAUUAUACAUCGCAGCACAAGGCCAAGGCAGAAGCACAUCUGAGUUUCCCCAGCUUGAAGUCAGCACAGAUCAUGGGAAGCUUAUUCCAUGGGCUCCACAUUUCCACAAUGAGUUCAAGAGAGAUGCACCGCAGCAGCUGGAAACCACUCACAAAGACACUGAUGUGACCACCGGCCAAAUUCAUACCAACCCUCAGGCUUGUUUCUGAAAACUGUGGACCCAAACACUUCUGAUGAAAACCAGGCAGCAUUUGUUAGAGCAGUCGGCAGGUGGGUUGUCUGAACAACAGUAGACAGUGUUAAAAACUCAGAGUCCAGCCUACUAGGUUUUUGAUAACAGCAGAAAACUUUAUUUUUUUCUUUAUGUCCACCAAUGAAAUUUAUUUUGUAGUUUUAUUUCAUUACCCCAGAAUCACUCUUUUAGAAUAGUUAUCUCAAGAUGAUUUUUAUAAAACAUACUCUUUACUUUGUGAAUAUUUGGGGGACUAGCCACUCAACAUUUACAAUAUUUUCGAGUCAAGCAGUUGUAAUAAGUUGAGACAAUUUUUAUUCUUUGUUCAAAAAUUAAAUGAGAUUCUUACACAAACUGAUAAGCACCUAGGUUUUGUGGAAAAAAAAAAAAAAAGGGCUAUAAAAGGUAAGUAAAAACGUGGCUGUUAUUACAGACUACUACAGAAUGCUAAGAGAAAUUCAGCCCACCACAGUGGAUUUAGCUCUUCCUUGCUUUUGGUUUGUAGUUCAUCUUUACAACCUUUUUACUCCUUAUUAUCUCUGAGUCAGCUUCCUUGCCAGGUUCCUGAAUUAGAAUCUGCCAAGAAGGGUCACUGAUACUGGAAGUGUGCUCUUGAUGACACUACAAAUGCAGCCUUUUUUCUCUGUCAACAAUCCUAAAACCAUGUGGUUUAAUUGUUUAGAAGAAAAAUGCAGCACCUUUAGCAAUAGGGGGAAAACUGUAAAACCUUACCAAGCAUGUAUCUCCUAAUAAUAAAUAUAAAGUGAAAAUGAAUGGUUAGCUUAAUUUUUAUUUACUUGUGAUACAAAACAUGCUCUGGGAUUUGCCCACUGAUCUUACCUCUUGGGGACAAAUCUUCUAGGUAGUCUUGGUCUGAAUACGUGGGACUGGAAACUGGAAAAUAAAAGAGAAGACAAGUGAGCCAGAACCACUAGAGAUCCUCUCUGCCCACCUCAGAAGUUCUGCAGAACUGCUGGUGGAGAGAACACACAGCUGCGCUUCUACUAGAAUUUUCCCUUUUGAUCAAGCCCAGAAGGGAAACAUUGUCUUCUUGCAUAUGCAGAUAGAGCAACAAAAAAUACACAAACCCAUUCUAAGGUGUUCAGGAGUCACCUCUUCACCUUAGAGUUUCAGUUAUUUAAAAAAAAAGAAAAAAGUUUUAGGCUUAACAGCUUCUAAGAAGAAUGUGAGAUGCUGACCUGACAAUAUUAAAUACAUGGAUGUCCCCUUGAAACACCAGUUUACCUGAAGCUCAGCCAGACACACCUCAGUGGACUUUUGACCAAGCAUCUCCUACCAGCUGCUCACCAGAAAAUACACAAGUAACAGGAGCACAGCAGGCCCAGGCCUGGUAUUGAUCAGCUAUGCCCUGCCUCCAGCUGCUGGCAACUUCUAAAGGCAUCAUCUGCUCCAGGCGGAAGCAAAGAUGAAUCUGCUGAUGGAGGCAAAAAAUCCUUUGCUGCUUUUCUACCUCUCUGGUAGACAAGUAUUGUCUCAUUCCACAUGUCUCAGACCAGGAAUAAAGGUAUAAAAGGAGGCAGAUAUAGGUGGCAUAAAUAGAGGUGUGCUUACAGCCGUAUGCUUGAUUGUUUCUGAGAAUGCUGGUGUUUUAAAAAUACAUAAUUUAUGGUUCUAAUCCAUCAGGAUUAGUAUUGCUUUUCAUUUGAAAUUAUAUUCUUUUGGUACUUCAGUGCUUGUAGAAUACUUUCCACCAUUCCAUUGAAUAUAUUCUACUGCAUUAAAACAAAUCUCAAGUGUGAAUGAUGUUAACUGUUUACUUCAGGCAUUUAAUAAUAA